GCCGAAGUGUUGGAACUGGUAGACAAGCAUGACUCAGAAUCAUGUGUUCUUAAGGACAUGGGGGUUCAAGUCCCCCCUUCGGCA
rnacentral:tRNA from 1 species